rfam:Schistosoma mansoni strain Puerto Rico chromosome 2, complete genome
AUCCAGCUGACGAGUCCCAAACAGGACGAAACGCGCGCCUUGAAU